rnacentral:rRNA from 1 species
CAUGAAGCUGGAAUUGCUAGUAAUCGUGGAUCAGCAUGCCACGGUGAAUACGUUCCCGGGCCUUGUACACACCGCCGUCACACCAUGAGGGUCGGGAACACCCGAAGUCCGUAGUCUAACCGCAAGGAGGGCGCGGCCGAAGGUGGGUCUGAUAAUUGGGGUNAAGUCGUAACAAGGUAGC